rnacentral:rRNA from 1 species
AGUGAACGCUGGCGGUAGGCCUAACACAUGCAAGUCGAACGGCAGCACAGUAAGAGCUUGCUCUUACGGGUGGCGAGUGGCGGACGGGUGAGGAAUACAUCGGAAUCUACUUUUUCGUGGGGGAUAACGUAGGGAAACUUACGCUAAUACCGCAUACGACCUACGGGUGAAAGCUGGGGAUCUUCGGACCUUGCGCGAUUGAAUGAGCCGAUGUCGGAUUAGCUAGUUGGCGGGGUAAAGGCCCACCAAGGCGACGAUCCGUAGCUGGUCUGAGAGGAUGAUCAGCCCCACUGGAACUGAGACACGGUCCCGACUCCUACGGGAGGCAGCAGUGGGGAAUAUUGGACAAUGGGCGCAAGCCUGCUCCAGCCAUACCGCGUGGGUGAAGAAGGCCUUCGGGUUGUAAAGCCCUUUUGUUGGGAAAGAAAAGCAGCAGGUUAAUACCCCGCUGUUCUGACGGUACCCAAAGACUAAGCACCGGCUAACUUCGUG